CGCAGAUGAUGAACCCACUGACGGGCGGACAGAGCCCUUGUGCUGAUUGUCAGGUUCUGAUGGG